GAGUUUGAUUAUGGCUCAGGAUGAACGCUAGCGGCAGGCCUCAUACAUGCAAGUCGAGGGGCAGCAGGACACUUCGGUGUUGCUGGCGACCGGCGCACGGGUGCGUAACACGUAUGCAAUCUGCCUUGUACUGGAGCAUAGCCCUCGGAAACGAAGAUUAAUACUCCAUACAGUCUUACUAGCGCCUGCUAGUAAGAUGAAAGCUCCGGCGGUACAAGAUGAGCAUGCAUCCCAUUAGCUUGUUGGUGAGAUAACAGCUCACCAAGGCUACGAUGGGUAGGGGUUCUGAGAGGAAGAUCCCCCACACUGGCACUGAGAUACGGGCCAGACUCCUACGGGAGGCAGCAGUAGGGAAUAUUGGUCAAUGGCGCAAGCCUGAACCAGCCAUGCCGCGUGCAGGAUGAAGGCCUUCAGGGUUGUAAACUGCUUUUGUAUGGGAAUAAAAAAGUCCUUGCGAGGACUCUUGAAGGUACCAUAAGAAUAAGCACCGGCUAACUCCGUGCCAGCAGCCGCGGUAAUACGGAGGGUGCAAGCGUUAUCCGGAUUUACUGGGUUUAAAGAGUGCGUAGGCGGCUUCUUAAGUCAGUGGUGAAAGCUUAGCGCUUAACGCUAGAAGUGCCACUGAUACUGGGAAGCUUGAGUCAAGAAGAGGUAAGCAGAAUUCAUAGUGUAGCAGUGAAAUGCUUAGAUACUAUGAGGAAUACCAACAGCGAAGGCAGCUUACUGGUCUUGUACUGACGUUGAGGCACGAAAGCGUGGGUAGCGAACAGGAUUAGAUACCCUGGUAGUCCACGCCGUAAACGAUGAUCACUCGAUGUACACGCUAGUCGUGUGUGUCUAAGCAAAAGCAUUAAGUGAUCCACCUGGGGAGUACGCUCGCAAGAGUGAAACUCAAAGGAAUUGACGGGAGUCCGCACAAGCGGUGGAGCAUGUGGUUUAAUUCGAUAAUACGCGAGGAACCUUACCUGGGCUCGAAUGUCUCUGCUACCUCGAGAAAUCGA
rnacentral:rRNA from 1 species